rnacentral:lncRNA from 1 species
CCUUCAAACGCAAAAAAGUCGUGAAAUAAGAUAUGACCAGAAUUGUGAAAUACGACUACGGUUGAAAAAUCACUGUAUUCCGGUAAAGUCUCGGUGUCGAUAGUUACGGUCAAUGCAAUUUACCCUUAUUAUUCACUAUGCUGCAGAUUUGGCGUUUGGUGUCCGAUUGACUAUUGUGAUACCUUUCCGGAAGCGUAACGGCCCUACGAGUUAAACUCAUCACUUUGCCAUGACAUCUGGGCCUUUUUGGCCAUCCGAGUCCGUUUAGGGCUUCAAAAUGCAGUUUUCUUAUUUUCGAUUAGAGUUGACCGUUUCGAUCGAGCCCUUAACGUUGUCGAAUCCAAUUGAAUUUUUUACCAUAGACAUCUUUCGUCAUAAUGAUUAUAUCUAACGGUCGAAUUUUGGUUUGUAAAUUUUAGUCAUCGGAAUCACAACGUGUCUACUAUUUACCGUUAUUAUUCCCUAUGGGGAGCCCUAUCGUCGGAAGGUAAAUGUCUAAAAAAAUUUAUAUGGGCAGUUGCGUCUCAUCUACGUGAGAGUUUUUUGUAUGGAAGGUUUGACCAAACUACGUAAUAUAGAGGGAUAUAUGAGCGUUUUCGUGUGAUAAGUGACGAUGGAUUAGGGUUGACCGUUUCGAUCGAGCCCUUAACGUUGUCGGAUCCAAUUGAAUUUUUUACCAUAGAUAUAUUUCGCCAUAAUGAUCAUAUCUGACGGUCGAAUUUUGGUUUGUGAAUUUUAGUCAUCGGAAUCACAACGUGUCUACUAAUGUUGUAUAACUUUCUUAAUAGGUUAUACAACUUUGUGAACCAACUCUGCAUAGGAAGUAAAAUUAUCAAAAAUCUCGUGAAAUAAGAUGUGUUCAUAAUGGUGAAAUGCGGCUAUGAUUAAAAAAUUACGUAAAUCGGGUAACGUCUCGGUGCCGAUAGUAGUGGUCAACCUUAUUUACCGUUAUUAUUCCCUAUGGGGAGCCUUAUCGUCGGAAGGUAAAUGUCUCAAAAUUUUUAUAUAGGCGGUUGCGUCUUAUCUACGUGAAAGUUUUUCGUGUAGAAGGUUUGACCAAACUACGUAAUAUAGAGGGAGAUAUGAGCGUUUUCGUGAAUUUAUAGACUUUAACCGACGAGAUAUUAAAAAAGUCGUCGGCUAAGGUCAAAAUUUUUUUUGGCGGUGAACCAAAUUUGGAGGAAAAUUUUCAAAGGACUUUAGCCGACGAAAAUAUAUGAAAAGUCGUCGGCUAAAGUCGAAAAAUUUUCAACCAAAAUUUUUGGCGGUCAACCAAAAUUUUUAAAAUAGUUUAGCCGACGAAAAUAAAAAAUUUCGUCGGGUAAAGUUCUUUAUAUAGGAGUUUUACCGGAGGUGGAUGGUAAGNNNNNNNNNNNNNNNNNNNNGGCUAUAGUUAUUUUUUUAAUUUUUUAUUACACACUUUAGCUGACGAAUAUCUUAUUGUUUCGUCGGCUAAAGUCUGGGAAAAAAACCGACAACAUGUUUUUCGUCGGCUAAACUGUGGGACUAUAGCCGACGACGUCUUUUUUUUUCGUCGGCUAAAGUCAUCGCCGACGACCUUUUCCCGACGAAAUCUUAGCCGAUGAUGGAUCGUUGGCUAAGAUCUUAGCUGACGAAUUAAGCUAACAGGCCGACGAAAUUUUUUCGUCGGCUAAAGUGCUUGUCUUGGCAGUGAUUCCUUCCAUUCACAGUUUUCUUCUUCCCUUUGUAAUCUUUAACUUUCGAAUUUAUUUUCUGUGUGAUUUCUACAACGAUGUGUGGCUAGUUUAACUUAGUUAGGAGUGGAGGUUUGAAGCCCCAAUUAUGCAAUAAACUUUGUUUGCAACCUUGAUUUCGUAAUUACUUAGUUAUGGAUUGUCUAUUUGGUUUUGGUUUAUAGGGAACUCUUGCUUGUUUAUGUUCAUGAAUGCAUACAUAGAACAUUAUGAACUUGUAAGUGGGGCUAGAAUUAGGUUGUUUAAUCUUCUAAACAGUUAAUACGGCUUAAUUCAAGGUAGUAAAACCUAUAGGACAAUAGGUGAAACCAAAUAGAGAGACUUGCAUGCUAGGUAGGCGUUCCACACUAGUCUUGCAUACUUGUUCAAUCACUUCCAUUGAUCUUAAUGCUUAGAAUAAUUUGUUGAUAUGAUAGCAUCUAUACCUUGAUUGGUUAUUCUAAAGGCUUAGUAAUUGUGCAUUCAUCUUACUUAAGUAGUUAAGGGAAGUAAUAAGAAUUUACGCAGUACGUUCACAGUUUAUUCUUAAAUGAACAUUUUCAUAACUUGGUAAUUGGAAUCUUGGUUGUGUGGAUUUUGUUUUGAAGCAUAUUCGGUGGUGAAUUUCCUAAAUCCCUAACCUCUUCUCUGUCUUAUUUCUCAAACUACAAAAAUCAAUCUAGUUUUCUUAUUCUUUUGUCUUCUGUUUUUCGUGAUUUAUUUAAUAUAGUAAACGAACUUCAAAUCCCCUGAAAUUUUGUAUGCUUGUUCUUCUCUGUGUCUAGUUUAGGUCUAUAAAUUUUCAUCUUCUUCUGAGUAGUGUAGGUUAGGUAGUUAAGUAUAUUUUCGUCUGCUGUUACUUAGGAACAGUAGACACUUUUGUGACAUUGUUUUUGUGUGUGAAAUUAAAUAUCCUAAAUCUCUAGCAAUGAAUGAUCCUUGCUUCUUUAUACUACAAUUGACAAUCUUUUGCAGGGUUAAAUUGUGAGGCUAUUUUAGCCGUACCAGCAUCUAAAAUUAUAAUCAAUAUUAUAUAACCAUAAUAUCAUCCAUUAGAUCUAAGAGUAAUUAAUGGUUGAGAUAAGUCAUAAAAAAUUAAAUCAUUUUUAUUUUCUUUUCUUUUUAUUUAAAUCAAUUUAGGAUAUUUUUCUAUUUGUCUAUUAAAUACACAAUAAAAAUGGGUGAUUACCUAUUAUGAAUUUGGAAUACGAUUAAGAGGGUGCGAGUUAGUGCCUUAAUGGUUUCCCAUUGAUAGUCAUAACUCAUAAGUAAGGAUUAAUAUCUUCCCAGAAAAAAAAAAAAAAGAUAAUCAUGAGCAAAAAAACCAUUAAAGUGAGAGUCAAUUUAUAUAUCAAAGUACUCUAUCAUCUAUAUCGAUUAAUUUCAAUUAGAAGAUGAUGAAUCUUGAUUGAAUUUUGUCAUCUUGAUGAAAAAAAAAAGAUGAGAAAGAGGUAGAUAGAGAAGAUUGAAACUUGGCCAAUUUUCGAACGUAAACUGGUAUAUUUUUUGUCUAAUUUUCUCUUAAGUAGAUGAGUUUCAAUAGGAAAACAAAAGAGGAUGAUAACUUUCAAUAGGAAGUCAAUUAACACCCUCUUAAUCCCUAUUAAUUGUAUUCUAAAUUCAUAGAAAGAUUACCUAAAUUGAUUUAAAUUAAAAGAAAAGAAAAGCAAAU